AUGGUUGUAUUUCUACUUGCUCUUCUUCAUAAAUAGUUGCACGAAUGUUUAGCUCUGCAAUUUUUUCUGCUGGAAUAACUGCAUUGUAGUCUACCCUACCCCAGUGACUUUCAAGCUCUAAGCCCCUCUGGUUGGCAAGAACAACCCGAUUUGAAUCCCAAUUAUUCAAGAAAUUGCCCCACUUUACAACUGGGGCUUCAGCUAAAAGCUUACUUCGAAGUGAGCUUGAAUCAGUUCCUUUGCAACUCUGUGACUGAUCACAUUUUGCCUUCCCUUUACUGCUUUCAGGAGAAUCAUUUUUCGUCUGCCCAGAAGUUGAAGCCACAGCAAAGUUUUCAUUUAGCUUAUUGAGUGCAUUAGAGCUCUCAAGUUUAAUUGAUUCAAUUUUACCCUCCUCCCAAAAAUCUUCUUCCUCAUCCUUUUCACGCUUUGUAGUAUCUGGAAGAGCAUAACCUGAUUCUACACAUUUCUUCUUGACAGAUUGGAGACGAUUUUGGAUAUCAAUGAAUUCCUUCAGCACUGAAUCUCUAGAUCUAUUAUCUGGUACUUCGACCCUUAUAAGAACAGAGAUCCAUUCUUGGACUGAAACCAGAUGCUUUGUUACUAGAAGCUUG
rnacentral:misc_RNA from 1 species